GACGAGAGCGCCCCGAACAGGUCGGGGCGCUUUGCGUUGGAGGUGCAACGGUGUGCUUCAGGUGACGGUCAACGUUCCAUUCAUCGUCUCGUGGCC
rnacentral:tRNA from 1 species